rnacentral:rRNA from 1 species
CACAGAGGGAUAGCCCAGAUAAAUUUGGAUUAAUACCUCAUAGGAUUAUGACCCGGCAUCGGGAUAUAAUUAAAGUCACGACGGUGAAAGAUGAGCAUGCGUCCCAUUAGCUAGUUGGUAAGGUAACGGCUUACCAAGACAACGAUGGGUAGGGGUCCUGAGAGGGAGAUCCCCCACACUGGUACUGAGACACGGACCAGACUCCUACGGGAGGCAGCAGUGAGGAAUAUUGGUCAAUGGGCGCAAGCCUGAACCAGCCAUGCCGCGUGCAGGAUGACGGUCCUAUGGAUUGUAAACUGCUUUUGUACGAGAAGAAACAACAUUACGUGUAAUGUCUUGACGGUAUCGUAAGAAUAAGGAUCGGCUAACUCCGUGCCAGCAGCCGCGGUAAUACGGAGGAUCCAAGCGUUAUCCGGAAUCAUUGGGUUUAAAGGGUCCGU